rnacentral:rRNA from 1 species
GGAAUAUUGGACAAUGGGGGGAACCCUGAUCCAGCGACGCCGCGUGAGUGAAGAAGUAUUUCGGUAUGUAAAGCUCUAUCAGCAGGGAAGAAAGAAAUGACGGUACCUGGCUAAGAAGCCCCGGCUAACUACGUGCCAGCAGCCGCGGUAAUACGUAGGGGGCAAGCGUUAUCCGGAUUUACUGGGUGUAAAGGGAGCGUAGGCGGCCUGGCAAGCCUGAUGUGAAAUACCGGGGCCCAACCCCGGGGCUGCAUUGGGAACUGCCAGGCUGGAGUGCCGGAGAGGCAGGCGGAAUUCCUAGUGUAGCGGUGAAAUGCGUAGAUAUUAGGAGGAACACCAGUGGCGAAGGCGGCCUGCUGGACGGUGACUGACGCUGAGGCUCGAAAGCGUGGGGAGCAAACAG